rnacentral:rRNA from 1 species
CAAUUGCGUCUAUUAAAGUUGUUGCAGUUAAAAAGCUCGUAGUUGAAUUUCUGUCAGGAGUGACCGGGCCUUUGGAUGAACUUCCAUUGUUUUUUGCUCUGUUUGUCAUCUCUAGACAUCCUGAAAUAUUUUUUAAAAAUAUUUCUCUUUUACUGUUAGCAAAAUAGAGUGUUCCAAGCAAAGCGUAGUUUUGAAUACAUUAGAAUGGAAUAAUAAGAUAGGACUUUGGUGCUAUUUUGUUGGUUUGCACACCAAGGUAAUGAUUAAUAGGGACAGUUGGGGGUAUUCGUAUUUAAUUGUCAGAGGUGAAAUUCUUGGAUUUAUGAAAGACGAACUACUGCGAAAGCAUUUACCAAGGAUGUUUUCAUUAA